UACGAAGGGUGCAAGCGUUACUCGGAAUUACUGGGCGUAAAGCGUGCGUAGGUGGUUUGUUAAGUCUGUUGUGAAAGCCCCGGGCUCAACCUGGGAAUGGCAAUGGAUACUGGCAGGCUAGAGUGCGGUAGAGGGUAGUGGAAUUCCCGGUGUAGCGGUGAAAUGCGUAGAGAUCGGGAGGAACACCAGUGGCGAAGGCGGCUACCUGGACCAGCACUGACACUGAGGCACGAAAGCGUGGGAG
rnacentral:rRNA from 1 species